UGACAUUUCCUGAAUUUUGCAGAGUGUGAGAGAGCCAUUGAAUGAGACAACUUCCCUUCAGACUCAAGAAUUCUCUCUUAAUUUGACACCAGAGGUAUAUGCUCAAAAAUAUUGAUUUAUACUUGGAGUAUACAAGUAGCUUUGUAAGCUUUUGUACAUAUAAAGGCAUUUCUGAUUUUCUUGUAGAAUGACCCAGAGCGAUCAUAUGAGACGCCAUUCAAUGCUAAUGAAAAAGAAAAUCUUAGCGAUGAAG
rnacentral:lncRNA from 1 species